rnacentral:piRNA from 1 species
UUGAUGCCUUCGUCCUUUGGGAG